UACGGAGGGUGCGAGCGUUGUCCGGAAUCACUGGGCGUAAAGGGCGCGUAGGCGGCGCGGUAAGUCUGCUGUGAAAGUCCAGGGCUCAACCCUGGGAUGCCGGUGGAUACUGUCGAGCUCGAGUCCGGAAGAGGCGAGUGGAAUUCCUGGUGUAGCGGUGAAAUGCGCAGAUAUCAGGAGGAACACCAAUGGCGAAGGCAGCUCGCUGGGACGUGACUGACGCUGAGACGCGAAAGCGUGGGGAGCAAACAGG
rnacentral:rRNA from 1 species